GCAGCGGCGGCAGCGGCUCCUCUGCAGCGGCGGCGGCCCGCGCCGGGGCACGAAAAGAAAGCUGUCAACGGCGCCUGUGCCCUGGGCUGGGCGAGCACCGGCCGGGCCCGGGCCCCCGCCCCCAGCUUCAAGGUAGCCCGGGAGCGCGAGCGGCAGCGCGACACGUGCGCCCGGAGCUGCUGCAGGAGCGGAGCCGGAGCCGGAGCCCGAGCCCGAGCCCGAGCCCGAGCCCGAGCCGGAGGGCGGGAGCCGGCGCGGGGCGGGGGCGCACGCGGCGGCCAGCAGCCCCGGACCUCGGCGCUGCCCCGCGCCCUGCUCCCGGCGCUCCGCGCACAGGGCAGACUAUGCCAUUGGGAGCCGACCGGGGCCGAGGCCAACUUGCAUCCGGCAGCGGCGGAGCAGCAGUGGCCAGAGGAGGAGGAGGAGAAGGAGGAGGAAGAGAAGGAGAAGGAGGUGCCCGGGCAGCCAAGAGGAGCUGCUACCGGGGCCGGGGCCGAGGCGGAGGGGCCGGUCGUGCCUGGGGCCCGCCGCACCGAGGGGCCCCGGCCGCGCAGCCUUGAAGCGGAGGAGCAGCCAGCCCCCGGCGGGCUGGGGCAGGAGGAAGAGCUCGGGGCCGAGCCAGGCCGGAGGGGAGUGCCCUGCCCUGCCCUGCUUUGCCCCACACCUCACGCACGCACGCAGCCCGAGGCCAGCAGAGGAUGUCAGCAUAUGUGUGCCAGACCAUCCAUCCUUCACUGCAGCCAGAGGCUUGUCCUCAGCUUUCGCUCAUGAGUGCCAGGCGUGACAUUGCAGGCAGGCGUUCCAGGUAAGGACUUUUGGGAAAGUGGAGGGGAGGGGCCUGUAAAGUUGCACCCUCUGAGGCUGAAAGCUACUCUGAGGAGCUGUAGGCUGGCCUGGGCUUCGGCGGGGGGCACUGUUUUUUGUUCCCUUCCCCCCUUCACCUGAAGUCUGUCUUGGUCCUGAGGCAGG
rnacentral:lncRNA from 1 species